rnacentral:rRNA from 1 species
UACGUAGGGUGCAAGCGUUAAUCGGAAUUACUGGGCGUAAAGCGUGCGCAGGCGGUGAUGUAAGACAGAUGUGAAAUCCCCGGGCUUAACCUGGGAACUGCAUUUGUGACUGCAUCGCUGGAGUGCGGCAGAGGGGGAUGGAAUUCCGCGUGUAGCAGUGAAAUGCGUAGAUAUGCGGAGGAACACCGAUGGCGAAGGCAAUCCCCUGGGCCUGCACUGACGCUCAUGCACGAAAGGGUGGGGAGCAAACAGG